rnacentral:lncRNA from 1 species
ACCCGAGAAUUUAGACCAUUUAUUAAAAUCUUAAAUGAUUGAUUUAAGGUCAAAUAUUAGACCUAGACAGAAAAUAAGUGUAUGCAUUUGAUGUUAUUAGGAUGGAAUUUUGAGGAUGUCAAAAUUUCGUGAAGGCUUAUAGGUGAAUUAUUCAGGAUUAAGGAUUUUUGUGAUUAAGUUCUGUGUAUAUGGUUAAUGAUGUGUUCAGAAUGUGGUUAAGAGUCAAGGGUUGACCAGAUAAAUUAUAUCUGUAACAAACCCUAAUAUAUAUUAAGAACAACAACGUUCAGUUAGAAAACCCUAACGUCUGAUAAGAAACCCUAGAAAUCGGUUCUGGAAAUCUUAGUUUCAGUUCCGGGAAUCCGAAACCCUAAUUCGGUGCAUGAAACCCUAAAUCGGGAACUU